UACGGGAGGCAGCAGUGGGGAAUAUUGCACAAUGGGCGAAAGCCUGAUGCAGCUAUGCCGCGUGUAUGAAGAAGGCCUUAGGGUUGUAAAGUACUUUCAUCGGGGAGGAAAAACAAAACUAAUAAUUUUAUUUCUUGACGUUACCCGAAAAAGAAGCACCGGCUAACUCCGUGCCAGCAGCCGCGGUAAUACGGAGGGUGCUAGCGUUAAUCAGAAUUACUGGGCGUAAAGAGCACGUAGGUGGUUUUUUAAGUCAGAUGUGAAAUCCCUGGGCUUAACCUAGGAACUGCAUUUUGAAACUGAAAUACUAGAGUAUCGUAGAGGGAGGUAGAAUUCUAGGUGUAGCGGUGAAAUGCGUAGAUAUCUGGAGGAAUACCUGUGGCGAAAGCGGCCUCCUAAACGAAUACUGACACUGAGGUGCGAAAAGCGUGGGGAGCAAACAGGGAUUAGAUACC
rnacentral:rRNA from 1 species